rnacentral:rRNA from 1 species
AGCGGGAAGUAGUUUACUACUUUGCCGGCGAGCGGCGGACGGGUGAGUAAUGUCUGGGAAACUGCCUGAUGGAGGGGGAUAACUACUGGAAACGGUAGCUAAUACCGCAUAACGUCUUCGGACCAAAGUGGGGGACCUUCGGGUCUCACGCCAUCGGAUGUGCCCAGAUGGGAUUAGCUAGUAGGUGGGGUAAUGGCUCACCUAGGCGACGAUCCCUAGCUGGUCUGAGAGGAUGACCAGCCACACUGGAACUGAGACACGGUCCAGACUCCUACGGGAGGCAGCAGUGGGGAAUAUUGCACAAUGGGCGCAAGCCUGAUGCAGCCAUGCCGCGUGUGUGAAGAAGGCCUUCGGGUUGUAAAGCACUUUCAGCGAGGAGGAAGGCCAAUAACUUAAUACGUUGUUGGAUUGACGUUACUCGCAGAAGAAGCACCGGCUAACUCCGUGCCAGCAGCCGCGGUAAUACGGAGGGUGCAAGCGUUAAUCGGAAUUACUGGGCGUAAAGCGCACGCAGGCGGUUUGUUAAGUCAGAUGUGAAAUCCCCGCGCUUAACGUGGGAACUGCAUUUGAAACUGGCAAGCUAGAGUCUUGUAGAGGGGGGUAGAAUUCCAGGUGUAGCGGUGAAAUGCGUAGAGAUCUGGAGGAAUACCGGUGGCGAAGGCGGCCCCCUGGACAAAGACUGACGCUCAGGUGCGAAAGCGUGGGGAGCAAACA